CCUACGGUGGGCAGCAGUGAGGAAUAUUGGUCAAUGGGCGAGAGCCUGAACCAGCCAAGUCGCGUGAGGGAGUACUGCCCUAUGGGUUGUAAACCUCUUUUGUCGGGGAGCAAAAGCCGGACGUGUCCGGCUGUGAGAGUACCCGAAUAAAAAGCAUCGGCUAACUCCGUGCCAGCAGCCGCGGUAAUACGGGGGAUGCGCGCGUUUUCCGGAUUUCUUGGGGUUAAAGGGUGCCAGGGCGGAUUUUUAAGUCAGCGGUCAAAUCGUGGGGCUCAACCCCAUCCCGCCGUUGAAACUGGGGAUCUAGAGUGUGCGAGAGGUAUGCGGAAUGCGUGGUGUAGCGGUGAAAUGCAUAGAUAUCACGCAGAACCCCGAUUGCGAAGGCAGCAUACCGGUGCACAACUGACGCUCAGGCACGAAAGCGUGGGUAUCGAACAGGAUUAGAUACCCUUGUAGUC
rnacentral:rRNA from 1 species